AUGAACGCUGGCGGCGUGCUUAACACAUGCAAGUCGAACGGUGAAAGAGAGCUUGCUCUCUGGAUCAGUGGCGAACGGGUGAGUAACACGUGGGUGAUCUGCCCUGCACUCUGGGAUAAGCCUGGGAAACUGGGUCUAAUACUGGAUAUGACCUGCUCUCGCAUGGGGGUGGGUGGAAAGAUUUAUCGGUGCAGGAUGGGCCCGCGGCCUAUCAGCUUGUUGGUGGGGUAAUGGCCUACCAAGGCGACGACGGGUAGCCGACCUGAGAGGGUGACCGGCCACACUGGGACUGAGACACGGCCCAGACUCCUACGGGAGGCAGCAGUGGGGAAUAUUGCACAAUGGGCGAAAGCCUGAUGCAGCGACGCCGCGUGAGGGAUGAAGGCCUUCGGGUUGUAAACCUCUUUCAGCAGGGACGAAGCGUGAGUGACGGUACCUGCAGAAGAAGCACCGGCUAACUACGC
rnacentral:rRNA from 1 species